AAUUUAAAAUUUAAUAAUAAAAUAAUAAUUAUUUAAAAUUUUUAAUAAAAUUUAUAAUAAGUAAAAUAAUAUUAAUACAAAUUUAUUUUAGUAAAAUGUAAAAAGAAAAAAUAUUUUUAUUGACAGUUUAAUAGUAAUGUAAAAGAAAAUAUUAAAAAUUAAAUUACUUAUAAAAUAAAUAAAUUUUGUAUUUUGUGUAUCAAAGAUUAUUUAAAAAAAAUUUUAUAGAAAAAAUUUUUUAGAAAAUUAAAGAGUUAAUAAAGUUAUUAUAUUAGUUAUUGUAAAAUAAAUAUUAAAAAUAAUUUAUUGGAAAUGAAAUUUUAAGCGAUUUAAUUAUUAUCUAAUUUUUUAAGAAAUAAAUUUAAUUUAUUUAUUUUAUAAUAGAAAUUAUAGUAAAAUUAAAAAUUUAAUUUUUUUUAAUUUAAUAAUAUUAAAUGGGAUAAGCUAUUUAAUAAACUUAUAAAUAAUAAAAAAAUAUUAAAAUUUAUAAAAAUAAAAUUAUUUAUUAAAUUUAUUUUAUUAUAAAAAAUUUUAAAUUAAAAAAAAAAAUUUUAAUUUAUAAAAUUAUUAAUUAAAUUUAUUAAAAUAUUAAUUUAAAUUAAUUAAAUUAAUUAUUUAUAAUAAUAUUAGUAUAUAAAAAUAAAAGUAUUAAUAUUUUACUUAUGAAAAAUUAAAUUUUAGAAUUCGGCAAAAAUUUAUAUUCGCUUGUUUAACAAAAACAUGUCUUUUUGAUUAAUAAUUUAAAGUCUAAUCUGCCCCCUGAAGUUAAAUUUAAAGGGCUGCAGUAUUUUAACUGUACAAAGGUAGCAUAAUAAAUAGGUUUUUAAUUGGAAUCUAGAAUGAAUGAUUGGACGAAAUAUAGUCUUUUUUAAUUUAAAAAUUUAUAAAAUUUUAUUUUUUAGUAAAAAAACUAAAAUAAAUUUAAAAGACGAGAAGACCCUAUAAAUCUUAAUAAUUAAUAAUUUAUUUAAAAGAUUAUAUUAAAAAUUAAUUAAAUAAUUUGAUUAUUUUAUUGGGGUGAUAAAAAAAUUAAAAAACUUUUUUAAAAUAAAAAUUUAGAUAAAAAAUUUUUAAAAAUUUGAAUUAUUAAGAAUUUUAAUAAUAAAAAGAAAAGAUACUUUAGGGAUAACAGCGUAAUUUUAAUUUUAAGUUCUUAUUAAAAUUAAAGAUUGCGACCUCGAUGUUGGAUUAAAAUUAAUUUUAAAUGUAAAAGUUUAAAUAUUAAGUCUGUUCGACUUUUAAAAUUUUACAUGAUCUGAGUUCAAACCGGUGUAAGCCAGGUUGGUUUCUAUCUUUAAUAAAAAUAAAUUUUUUAGUACGAAAGGAAUAUAAAUUUAAAAUAGAUUUUUUUAGAAUAAGAAUAAAAAUAAAAUAAUAUUUAUGAAA
rnacentral:rRNA from 1 species